AGAGUUUGAUCAUGGCUCAGAGUGAACGCUGGCGGCGUGCCUAACACAUGCAAGUCGAACGAGAACGGAUAUAAGUUUACUUAUAUUGUCAGCUAAGUGGCGCACGGGUGAGUAAUAUAUAGUUAAUCUGCCCUGAAGAAGAGAAUAAUUGUUGGAAACGACUUGUAAUGCUCUAUAUGCCUUUAUCACAUAAGUGAGCAAGGGAAAUAUUUAUAGCUUCGGGAUGAGACUGUACGGUAUCAGCUAGUUGGUGAGGUAAUGGCUCACCAAGGCUAUGACAUCUAACUGGUUUGAGAGGAUGAUCAGUCACACUGGAACUGAGACACGGUCCAGACUCCUACGGGAGGCAGCAGUGGGGAAUAUUGCACAAUGGAGGAAACUCUGAUGCAGCAACGCCGCGUGGAGGAUGACACAUUUCGGUGCGUAAACUCCUUUUAUUAGGGAAGAUAAUGACGGUACCUAAUGAAUAAGCACCGGCUAACUCCGUGCCAGCAGCCGCGGUAAUACGGGGGGUGCAAGCGUUACUCGGAAUCACUGGGCGUAAAGAGCAUGUAGGCUGAUUAGUAAGUUG
rnacentral:rRNA from 1 species